UACACUCCUGCGGGAGGCAGCAGUGGGGAAUAUUGGACAAUGGGCGAAAGCCUGAUCCAGCAAUGCCGCGUGAGUGAUGAAGGCCUUAGGGUUGUAAAGCUCUUUUACCCGGGAUGAUAAUGACAGUACCGGGAGAAUAAGCCCCGGCUAACUCCGUGCCAGCAGCCGCGGUAAUACGGAGGGGGCUAGCGUUGUUCGGAAUUACUGGGCGUAAAGCGCGCGUAGGCGGCUUUGUAAGUUAGAGGUGAAAGCCCGGAGCUCAACUUCGGAAUUGCCUUUAAGACUGCAUCGCUAGAAUCGUGGAGAGGUGAGUGGAAUUCCGAGUGUAGAGGUGAAAUUCGUAGAUAUUCGGAAGAACACCAGUGGCGAAGGCGACUCACUGGACACGUAUUGACGCUGAGGUGCGAAAGCGUGGGGAGCAAACAGGAUUAGAAACCCCUGUAGUCCC
rnacentral:rRNA from 1 species